rnacentral:rRNA from 1 species
AGAGUUUGAUCCUGGCUCAGGAUGAACGCUAGCGGCAGGCCUAAUACAUGCAAGUCGAACGGUAACAUUGGUGCUUGCACCAGAUGACGAGUGGCGCACGGGUGCGUAACGCGUAUGCAAUCUACCUUUUACUAGAGUAUAGCCCAGAGAAAUUUGGAUUAAUCCUCUAUAAUAUCUUUAAGUUUCAUGACUUUUAGAUUAAAGUUUUAACGGUAAAAGAUGAGCAUGCGUCCUAUUAGUUUGUAGGUGAGGUAACGGCUCACCUAGACUACGAUAGGUAGGGGCCCUGAGAGGGGGAUCCCCCACACUGGUACUGAGACACGGACCAGACUCCUACGGGAGGCAGCAGUAAGGAAUAUUGGACAAUGGACGAAAGUCUGAUCCAGCCAUGCCGCGUGCAGGAUGAAAGCCCUAUGGGUUGUAAACUGCUUUUAUACAGGAAGAAACACUCGUACGUGUACGAGCUUGACGGUACUGUAAGAAUAAGGACCGGCUAACUCCGUGCCAGCAGCCGCGGUAAUACGGAGGGUCCGAGCGUUAUCCGGAAUCAUUGGGUUUAAAGGGUCCGCAGGCGGUCUUUUAAGUCAGAGGUGAAAGCCUACAGCUCAACUGUAGAACGGCCUUUGAUACUGAAAGACUUGAGUUAUUAUGAAGUGGUUAGAAUGUGUGGUGUAGCGGUGAAAUGCAUAGAUAUCACACAGAAUACCGAUUGCGAAGGCAGAUCACUAAUAAUAUACUGACGCUCAUGGACGAAAGCGUGGGGAGCGAACAGGAUUAGAUACCCUGGUAGUCCACGCCGUAAACGAUGGAUACUAGCUGUUCGUCUAACAUUGGUUAGAUGAGUGGCUAAGCGAAAGUGAUAAGUAUCCCACCUGGGGAGUACGGUCGCAAGACUGAAACUCAAAGGAAUUGACGGGGGCCCGCACAAGCGGUGGAGCAUGUGGUUUAAUUCGAUGAUACGCGAGGAACCUUACCAGGGCUUAAAUGUAGUGGGACAGGUCUAGAGAUAGACCCUUCUUCGGACUCA